AACCUGUAACAGUAUUUGGAGGCAGAUUGUUUGUCGUCAUGGCAACAACUUAAACCACUUCAUCCUAACCACAUAUGCCGUGAUGUUGACUGAGUUGUGCUGUGAUUGUUAAAGUCAUUCUUACUUCUGUUCCAAGGAUAAUUAACUUACCAGUACCUGGAGAAAUGUCUUGUGGCACACACUUCUGGCACUGACAAUGUUUGAACAACCCUAGUGCAGCCUCAUACACCACUUUAUAGGGAUGACACAUUGUGCUGUUGACUGAGCAGGUGCAGAUUUUGACAGAAAACUACGCCAUGGACUUGAUCGAUGAGAAGUUUCAGGUUUUUAAACAAGAAGGCAUGCACUUUAUACACUUAAAUGUAAAAUCAUUAUUUCCGAAAAUGUCUGAAAUCCGAAUCAUAGCCGAAAAAACAAAUGCGUCAGUGAUAGGAAUAAGUGAAACAUGGUUAGAUUCUUCAUUUGAGGACUUUCACAUCUCUAUUGAGGGCUAUACAGUGAUCCGGAAAGACAGGGAAAACAAACGGGGUGGUGGAGUGUGCAUGUAUAUCAACAAUA